UCCCGGGCUCAGACACACCCGGACAGCGCUUGGGGCAGAUCCCUGACUACAGUUCCCAGGAAUGUUAGCAGCGGACUCGGGUUGGUUGGAGCCAGGAUUGCUGGCAGGAUCUCAGGAGUCUGAGAGGGUCUGAACUGGAGUUGCCUGUGCAGCCGGCAGCAGCAGAAAUGCCCUUAAAAAGGGAAAGGAGAGACGCCAAGGAGAGAACCAGUGCCUGUGCCAGGAGCAUGCAACUCCCAAGAGGUUUCACCAAAGCAUGAACUAGGUUCGUUGACUGGUUGGGUGGUAGAAACAGACAGCCGUGUGUGAGGCCAGGAGAAGACCAGCAUCAUCUACGAUAUCAUGAGCAGCUGCAGAAAACUCAUGGAAUCUCUGAUUUCACCAGGUUUAUAAUCUUGCAGCAGCAAAGUCUGCUAGGCAUUCUCCAAUAUCCAUUCUUCUCUUCCUCCAUAAUAAGAGUUUUAGGUGGAAACAUGGUUGCUCAGCUAAAGACUACAUUUCCCUGCUUCCCUUGCAGCCAGGGUGGUCAUGUGACUGAAUUUUGGCUGGUGAAGUAUAAGCAGAAGUUAUUUCUGUCCUCUUAAUUGGGUGUGUGCUCCCCUGUCUCCCUUUCCAAUUUCCUAUCAACUGGAAGAUCACAAAAGCUAAAGCAGCUUGGGAAUUAGAGAUGGAAUCUGUGCAAAGAGAAUGGUAGAGCCUCCCUAAAAGCUCUGGAUUGCUGACCAUCAGGCAAAUAAACCUCUAUUUUGUCUAA